UCUGGCCCCGCCCCCAGGAGCUCUGGCCCCGCCCCCUCCCCGCUAUUUUGGGGGAUUUUGGUGCCGUUUUUGGACGUUUUUGAAAAAAAACCUCAACGUGGCCUUGACCCCCCCCGGAGCUCCCAGUCCAGACCAGUCCAAACCAGUCCAGACCAGUCCAGACCAGUUCAAACCAGUUCAAACCAGUAUCCCAUCCCAGUCCAUACCAGUUCAAACCAGUUCCAACCAAUCCCUCCCAGUCCCUCGAAUUCCCUCCCAGUUUAGACCAAUUCAAUCCCAGUAUCCCAUCCCAAUCCCUUCCAGUCCAUCCCAGUUCAUCCCAGUCCAUCCCAGUCCUUCCCAGUCCCCCCCAGUCCAUCCCAGUUCAAUCCCAGUCCAUCCCAGUCCUUCCCAGUCCCCCCCAGUCCAUCCCAGUUCAAUCCCAGUCCAUCCCAGUCCUUCCCAGUUCAGACCAGUUCAAUCCCAGUCCAUCCCAAUCCAUCCCAGUUCAUCCCAGUCCAUCCCAGUCCCAUCCCAGUUCCAUUCCAGUUCAAUCCCAGUCCCAUCCCAGUCCAUCCCGGUCCAUCCCAGUCCCCCCCAGUUCAAACCAGUUCAAUCCCAGUCCCUCCCAGUCCAUCCCAGUCCCUCCCAGUCCAUCCCAGUAUCCCGCUAUCCCAUCCCAGUUUCUCCCAGUCCAUCCCAGUCCCCUCCCA
rnacentral:lncRNA from 1 species